GCUGGGCACAGUGGUGCACGCCUGUAAUCCCAGAGGCUCGGGAGGCUGAGACAGGGGACUGUGAGUUCAAAAUCAGCCUCAGCAAAAGCAAGGCACUAAGCAACUCUGUGAGACCCUGUCUCUA
rnacentral:sRNA from 1 species